UACGUAGGGUGCGAGCGUUAAUCGGAAUUACUGGGCGUAAAGCGUGCGCAGGCGGUUUGUUAAGACAGGCGUGAAAUCCCCGGGCUCAACCUGGGAACGGCGCUUGUGACUGGCAGGCUAGAGUACGGCAGAGGGGGGUGGAAUUCCACGUGUAGCAGUGAAAUGCGUAGAGAUGUGGAGGAACACCGAUGGCGAAGGCAGCCCCCUGGGCCGAUACUGACGCUCAUGCACGAAAGCGUGGGGAGCAAACAGG
rnacentral:rRNA from 1 species